GGGGCGGACGGUGACGCCUGGGCUGCGCUUUCCCUUGCUGACCUGGGCUUUGAACCCCGGGAGGGGGGAGCUGGGGUUCGAGCUCAUUGUUCAGGCUGUAACCGGAGCAUCGAUCCCAGCGGGCCCAACCUGGGUGGCUCGCACCUUAGCCUUUGUGUUGCCCGUUCACUUUGGAAACUAGUGAACGUGGUGUCAAGAAAGGCAUAAAGCAAUGCUCUGCAGCUUUUUCCUGCCCUUAUAUGUGGUGUAUUUGGUGUAGGAGCUGCAGAAGUGACAGCUCGUCCUGUGCGUCCCGUGCGCGUUCGCGGUAACUCGGCCGACGUUAGAGGAGUGUGUUUUCCUAACCAGCCUCCGCUACGUUCUGUUCAGGUGGAAGACGGGCGCUUGAAGCCAGCUGCUGUCGGCGUACUGCCACCGGGAGCACACACGGUGACGCUGGAGUGCGGGAUUUUGUACUUCAAAUCGGAGCGUCUUCUGCAGUGUUGGGACGUCGUUAGCUUUGGUACCGCUCUGUAUUUUAAAAGGUUGUCGAACAUUUUGAAAAUAUAACCGUCCAUUCGCUUUGAUCAUUUAAAAUUUACAGGAGUCAGGAGUGUUGAAAUGGCCUGUGGGCAAUCCAUGCAUGUAAUUUUUAAGAUAAGCUAUAAAUAAAUAUUUUGAUGUGCUUCUUUGA